rnacentral:tRNA from 1 species
UGGAGUUGUGGCUCAGUGGUAGAGCACUUGCCUAGCAUGUAUGAGGCACUGGGUUUGAUUCUCAGCACUAUAU